GACGUAGGGCGCGAGCGUUGUCCGGAUUUAUUGGGCGUAAAGAGCUUGUAGGCGGCUUGUCGCGUCGACUGUGAAAACCCGCGGCUCAACUGCGGGCCUGCAGUCGAUACGGGCAGGCUAGAGUUCGGUAGGGGAGACUGGAAUUCCUGGUGUAGCGGUGAAAUGCGCAGAUAUCAGGAGGAACACCGGUGGCGAAGGCGGAUCUCUGGGCCUUACCUGACGCUCAGGCGCGAAAGCUAGGGGAGCGAACUGG
rnacentral:rRNA from 1 species